rnacentral:rRNA from 1 species
CAGUAGCCACGGGAAUACGGAGGGUGCAAGCGUUAUCCGGAUUUAUUGGGUUUAAAGGGUCCGUAGGCGGAUCUGUAAGUCAGUGGUGAAAUCUCACAGCUUAACUGUGAAACUGCCAUUGAUACUGCAGGUCUUGAGUAAAUUUGAAGUGGCUGGAAUAAGUAGUGUAGCGGUGAAAUGCAUAGAUAUUACUUAGAACACCAAUUGCGAAGGCAGGUCACUAAGAUUUAACUGACGCUGAUGGACGAAAGCGUGGGGAGCGAACAGGAUUAGAUACCCCUGUAGUCCAUGUCUCUUAUAC